rnacentral:rRNA from 1 species
UACGGAGGGUGCAAGCGUUAUCCGGAAUCACUGGGUUUAAAGGGUGCGUAGGCGGUUAGAUAAGUCAGUAGUGAAAUUCCCCCGCUUAACGGGCGGAACUGCUAUUGAUACUGUUUAACUUGAAUCAGGUUGAGGUAAGCGGAAUGUGACAUGUAGCGGUGAAAUGCUUAGAUAUGUCAUAGAACACCAAUUGCGAAGGCAGCUUGCUGGGCUUUGAUUGACGCUGAGGCACGAAAGCGUGGGGAGCAAACAGG